rnacentral:rRNA from 1 species
GCAUCGAUGAAGAACGCAGCGAAAUGCGAUACGUAAUGCGAAUUGCAGAAUUCAGCGAGUCAUCGAAUCUUUGAACGCACAUUGCGCCCGCCAGCAUUCUGGCGGGCAUGCCUGUCCGAGCGUCA